rnacentral:misc_RNA from 1 species
GAUGAAGAACGCAGUGAAAUGCGAUAAGUAAUGUGAAUUGCAGAAUUCAGUGAAUCAUCGAAUCUUUGAACGCACAUUGCGCCCCCUGGUAUUCCGGGGGGCAUGCCUGUUCGAGCGUCAUUUCACCACUCAAGCCUCGCUUGGUAUUGGGCAACGCGGUCCGCCGCGUGCCUCAAAUCGACCGGCUGGGUCUUCUGUCCCCUAAGCGUUGUGGAAACUAUUCGCUAAAGGGUGUUCGGGAGGCUACGCCGUAAAACAACCCCAUUUCUAAGGUUGACCUCGGAUCAGGUAGGGAUACCCGCUGAACUUAAGCAUAUCAAAAAGCGAGGA